rnacentral:rRNA from 1 species
AUUGAACGCUGGCGGCAGGCCUAACACAUGCAAGUCGAGCGGAUGAAGGGAGCUUGCUCCUGGAUUCAGCGGCGGACGGGUGAGUAAUGCCUAGGAAUCUGCCUGGUAGUGGGGGAUAACGUCCGGAAACGGGCGCUAAUACCGCAUACGUCCUGAGGGUGAAAGUGGGGGAUCUUCGGACCUCACGCUAUCAGAUGAGCCUAGGUCGGAUUAGCUAGUUGGUGGGGUAAAGGCCUACCAAGGCGACGAUCCGUAACUGGUCUGAGAGGAUGAUCAGUCACACUGGAACUGAGACACGGUCCAGACUCCUACGGGAGGCAGCAGUGGGGAAUAUUGGACAGUGGGCGAAAGCCUGAUCCAGCCAUGCCGCGUGUGUGAAGAAGGUCUUCGGAGUGUAAAGCACUUUAAGUUGGGAGGAAGGGCAGUAAGUUAAUACGUAGCUGUUUUGACGGUACCAAGAGAAGAAGCACCGGCUAACUUCGUG